rnacentral:tRNA from 1 species
GCGUCCGUAGCUCAGUUGGUUAGAGCACCACCUUGACAUGGUGGGGGUCGGUGGUUCGAGUCCCCUCGGACGCACCA